UACGAAGGGGGCUAGCGUUGUUCGGAAUUACUGGGCGUAAAGCGCACGUAGGCGGUCUUUUAAGUCGGGGGUGAAAUCCUGGAGCUCAACUCCAGAACUGCCUUCGAUACUGGAAGACUUGAGUCCGGGAGAGGUGAGUGGAACUGCGAGUGUAGAGGUGAAAUUCGUAGAUAUUCGCAAGAACACCAGUGGCGAAGGCGGCUCACUGGCCCGGUACUGACGCUGAGGUGCGAAAGCGUGGGAGCAACAGGGAUUAAGAAACCC
rnacentral:rRNA from 1 species